rnacentral:lncRNA from 1 species
CACCCAACAAAAAAUUGAAAAAAUGCAAUCAUCAACAUCACUAUACAUCAGAAUCACCACAUAACUUAUAUAUGACUAUAUAUAACUACAUGUGAAUAUAUAUGACUAUAUCUAUAUGACAAUAUGUGACUAUAUAUGACUACAUGUGACUAAAUAUAACUACAUGUAUAUGACUACAUGUGACUAUAUAUGACUACAUGUAUAUGACUACAUGUGACUAUAUAUGACUACAUGUAUAUGACUACAUGUGACUAUAUAUGACUACAUGUAUAUGACUACAUGUGACUAUCUAUAAAAGUAUAGUCAUAUAUAGUGUAGUUUGUAUUUAUAGCUUCAAAUCCCACUUUUCAACACGACAGCAACUCCGAUCUAUCGCAAAAGAACUAUUUUGAAUUGACGAACACCAUGUCCUCUCGACAAAAAAAUAGUGCUAGAAGUUGUUUAAACACCGAGAC